UUUUAUGGCUGAGUAGUAUUCCAGUGUGUAUAUAUACCAUAUCUUCUAUGUCCAGUCGUCAGUUUCUGGGCAUUUAGGUUGGUUCCACGUCUUGGCUAUUGUAAAUAAUGCUGCGAUGAACAUAGGGGUGCAUGGGUUCUUGGGAUUGCUGAUCCAAAACCAAAAGUGACAAAUGUUGGAGAGGUUGUGGAGAAAAGGGAACCCUCAUACACUGUUGGUGGGAAUGCAAACUAGUGCAGCCACUAUGGAUAACAGUAUGGAGAUUUCUCAAAAAGUUAAAAAUAGAAAUACCCUAUGACCCAGCUAUCCCACUACUGGGUAUCUAUCCUAACAACCUGAAAUCAGCAAUCCCAAGAAUCCCAUGCACCCCUAUUUUCUAUUAUAUUUUAUGACUCCACAUUCUCAUUUAUUUCAUCAUAGCAAUUUAUUUUCAAAUUUGAGACCUAUUACUCUUUUACAUCAUCAUUUCUCCACGAUAAAAUAACUUUUAAAAAUGCUGUUCUUCAAAUGCAUCUUUGUAAAUGCCAGUAAGUGUAAAAUAAAUGAAAUCAAUCACCACAUUUUUUUAAAAGUCAUAGUAAUAAAUUAAUGCUAAAACUAGUAAGUGAAUGUUUAUUAAGAAAUAAGACAUUUACACAGUCUCAGUAUCUCCCCACAAAUUAUUUAGUGGUUAAAAAUGAGGAAUAAUUAACUUUACAUAGAAAAAUCUGGUGGAUACCACUUUAACCAAGAGAUCGAAAUUAUCAUCACCAGUCUUGGGAUCAAUUGACAUCAUGUGUCUCCUAUCAAGAUGCACUAAAAAGAACACAGUAUCACUUCUGUUGUAUUUCUAGCAAAAGUACAUAACCUUAAUCUAAUCAUAAGGAGGCAUCACACAGACCCAAACUGAGAGACCUUAUGAAAACAUAACUGGCCUGUGCUCCUCAAAAAUAUCGAACUUAAGAAAGACAAUGAGAGGCAGAAGAACUGUUCCAAAUUAAAAGACAUCAGGGCAAGUGGAAACUCUGAAUAUGGAUUUUGGAUUAGAUAAGAGUAUUAUACAUAUUUAAAAUUUUUGAUUUGUUAUUUGUAUAAAAGAAUAUUCUUGUCCUUCCGAAAUACUGAAGAAUUCAGGGGAAAGGGAGCAUGAUGUCUGCAACUCACUCUCAAAUGGUUCACAAAAAAAUGAAUAUAACAAGAGAAAAUGCAACUAAUUAAGUAGUUGGGACAAAAUGUUCACAAUGGAACUCUAGAUAAAGGGUAAACAGGAGUUCUUUGUACUAGUCUUGUAAUGCUUAAGUGUGAAAUAAUAUCACAAUAAAAGUCACCAGAAAAUAAAAGUAGCAUUUUAACUCUUCUUGAAGUAUUUUCCUUUUCUCAGAGCACAGAACUAUUAUAGGAGUACAGUUUCAGUUAAUCCGACUACCGGUCCAAUCCAAGAAAGCAGAUAACAGUUUACAAUAUAUCACUCUAAUAACUUGCUUGAAAAAACACAACUUUGCACAUUUGCCAACUUUACUGCUGCUUUAAAUACCAAGAAUCAUCAUCAGUGUUGAUAAUAUACAAGAAUUUUCACAAAUAUAGGAUGAAAAAAGUCUACACACAAGGUGAUGUGAUUUGAGAGCAACUUCUGCCAUGUAGUUUUAGUUUUACAUAAAGCUCCAUCCCUUCCUAUUUUCCUACUUUAUAGGCUAGAGUUAUCUUCUUGAGUUUAAUAUUAACCAUCUGCUUUUUAUCAUUUCACUAUAUUACUGUUCCUUUAAAAAACUUGAUCAUAUUACUCUAAAGACUUUUAAAGUAUUUGUUAGUUUCCUAUAAUGAAAAGGCAAAAAAUGAAAUAGCAUAAAAAGCCUUUUCAAAUCUGACCCUGUUACACACAAAAUUGGGGUUCUCUUGCCUGAUGCACAUACAGAGCCAAUCAUUACAGCUUCAGCUUUUGAUACAAGAAUACAGCGUUACUGCAAGAUCGACCUGCAAAGAGACAGAACGCAUAAGCUCUCAGAUUUGUCUCCCUGAUCCAGGGCUUAGGGUAAAAUGUAUGGGACAGAGGGCAGGGUGGCCUCAAGUAUGGAGACAGAGGAUUGGAGGUGAGGAUAAGUGAGAUAACUGAUGAUUUGUGCAAGCGUAUUCAAGCUUCACGGCUCUUCAUAGGACACGUGUUCUCAAACGGGUUGUGGGAGUAUGAUCUGAGGGGUGGAGUUUUCAGCCCUUGACGUCAAAAGGUCACUUUUAGAGCAUUUGCGGAGGCUCAGUUGAUGGGCUGGUGGUCCCAACCGGCCUGAACUGGACAAGGGGGAACUCUCAGUUCCUGAAACACAACUCUUAAUUACUCUGUUGAUAAGAUGGGGUCAGGUGAACCAGUCCGAGUAGGCCCAUGGUUACAACUCCAACUACCUUCCUUUUUUUCAACUCUACCUCACCUGUCCUCUCCAAUCACACUCAAUGCCUCACUGUUCUCAAGGCAGACAAGGGCCCUUCUACCAAGCCUCUAGACAUGCCCUUUUCACCACCUAGAAUAUCUACCCUCCUAACCAACACCAACACCUUGCUUUAUGACCCAACUCAAAAUUGUCAUCUCUCUCUUUGGAAAAUACUUGCCAUCAACUCUUCAAGGCAAAUUUGUUGUUCUUCCACAUUUCCUGGUUCAUAUCUUUGUAACUGUACUUAGCCACAUCACAGCGUACAGUAGCCUCCCUUUACCCGCAGGGGAUACAUUCCAAGACCCCCCGUGGGUGCCUGAAACUGCACAUAGCACCAAACUCUAUCUAUACUAUGUUUCCCUAUACAUACAGACCUACGAUAAAGUUCAGUUUACAAGUUAGGCACAGUAAGAGGUUAACAACAAUAAUAAAGUAGAACAAUUAUAACAACAUACUGUAAUAAAAAUUACCACAGAUCUUAGCAACCUCAGCAUAUGUUUUUGUCCUUUCCUUAUUAAGUUGAGAACUUUCACCUUUUCACUUAAAGAAAACACUUGACAGCUUCUCUUUGGCAUAUCCAAGUUGCCAGUAUCACUAAUCUUGCACUUUGGGGCCAUUAUUAAGUAAAAUAAGGGUUACUUGUACACAAGCACUGUGAUACCACAACAGGUGAUCUGAUAACCAAAAUGGCAACUGAGUGACUAACGAGCAGGUAGUGUAUACUGUGUGGAUAUGCUGGACAAAGGGAUGAUCCACAUCCUGGCAGGACAGAGCAGGACAGCAUGAGAUUUCAUCACACUACUCAUAAUGGUGCAUGACUCAAAACUUAUGAAUUGUUUACUUCUGGAAUUUUCUGUUUAAUAUUUUCAGACCAUGUACAGGCUCAAGAUACUCAAUACAGUACAAAGAACAGUGUGGGCAUUAACGCCCUAGCAGAAACCAAGACUUCAUAAAAAGUAAUAGUGAAGAAAACGUGGCACUGGCAUAGGGAUUAAAACAAACACACCAGGAAUGACAUCAUACACAAGAGUGGAGCAGGCAACUCCAAAACUCCAUCCCUCCACUAAGGCAACAAUUAUGCUGGUAAAAAUCAUCAGAAUCAACUUUUUUGAAACUCUACAAGCUAAUCAAAAACUUACAAUCGCCAGGAGAACAUAUAACAGAAAGAGGUGCUAAACUCUGGUAUGAGAGCCCUGUGGUCUUUUAACUUAUGCACCUACCAUACCUCACCCCCCAUCUAGGUGGCAGCCAUGAAGACAGUGGCCCACAUACCUAGUGCAACCUGCAGAUGUCAAAGAGGGAAAUAUCAACCUUAUUAUUAAAGAACUGUGGUUUUGACCUGUUUGGUCGUUAUCUGACAGAUUAGGGCAGGGGUUCGCCUUUGUUCACUCACCUCACAACUUUCUCAGGAGAAGUUCCUGAGACAAGUGGGGUUUGUCUAAAGCAUUUAAAGGUAAAUAUACCACUUACAGCCAUGUGGGGCAAGGGAUAACAACUAGGCCAGGCACUAAACAGACAUAAAAGAAUGGGAAGAAAGAAGCUGAAGGAAGAGAACAUGAAGGAAUAAGGGUUCCAAAAAGCUCCUGCACAUACCAGGAAACUUGGAAGGCCACACAUACGCCCAAGGCUGGAGACACGCUCAGAAAAGACAUGACAAGGCUACAAGCAUUCACCUCUAGCUGACCUCUAGCCUCCACACAAUCAAGAAGGGCUAGGAAAGAGUCUUAAAUGAACUGGCUAAGCACUGCAAAGUGCCCCAACACUGAGCCAAUCUGCAAAGACUGGGAGAGUUGUUUUGGUUUUUGUUUUUGCUUCUAGGCAUUUAAGGAAAGUUCUGUUAAACCACUAACAGACCAGUAAGCUACCAGAACAAACACUUCAGUGUCCACGCAAGACAAAAAAUAGUCUUUAUAGAAAUAAGUUAGAAACUUCACCAAGCAAAAACGACAACCCACAACAAGCAGCAGCAACAAACUCUGGGGAGGGAGAAGGAUGUUUUCCAGUUACCACAUUACAAUAUUCAAAAUGUCCACUUUCAACAAAAAGUUACAAGCAUACAAAGAAACAAGAAAGUAUGGCCCGUUCACAGGAAAAGAAAUUAACAGAACUGUCCCUAAGGAAGCCCACAUGUUGGAAUUAGUAAGCAAGGGCUUUAAAUCAACUGUCUGAAAUACACUCAAAGAGCUAAAGGAAACCAUGAACAAAGAACUAAAGGAAACAAGGAUAUCUUACCAAGGUAAGAAAACACAGAAAAAUAAAUUACAUAAAGAAACCAAAUAAAAUUUGAGAGCUGAAAAGUGCAAUAACAGAAGUGAAAACUUCAUGGGGCUGGCCCAGUGGCAAAGUGGUUAAGUUCUCACACUCCGCUUCAGUAGCCCGAGGUUCACGGGUUCAGAUCUCAGGCACAGACCUACACACCACUCAUCAAGCCAUGCUGUGGCAGCAUCCCACAUACAAAAUAGAGGAAGACUGGGGCUGGCCCCGUGGCCGAGUGGUUGAGUUCGCGCACUCCGCUGCAGGCGGCCUAGUGUUUCGUUGGUUCGAAUCCUGGGCGCGGACAUGACACUGCUCAUCAAACCACGCUGAGGCAGCGU
ensembl:lncRNA